UACAUGGGGUGCAAACGUUGCUCGGAAUCAUUGGGCGUAAAGGCGCGAGCGUAGGCGGUUACUUAAGUUGGAUGUGAAAGCCCUCGGCUUAAACUGAGGAAGGUGCAUCCCAAAACUGAGUAGCUAGAGUACGAAAGAGGGUCGCUGGAAUUCCCGGUGUAGAGGUGAAAUUCGUAGAUAUCGGGGAGAACACCGGUGGCGAAGGCGGGCGACCUGGGUCGAGACUGACGCUGAG
rnacentral:rRNA from 1 species